AAUUUGGUGUUUUUAAACACCACCCAUUGUUCAAAGAAACCUUAUU
rfam:Saprolegnia parasitica CBS 223.65 unplaced genomic scaffold supercont2.30, whole genome shotgun sequence.